GAGUUUGAUCCUGGCUCAGGAUGAACGCUAGCGGCAGGCUUAACACAUGCAAGUCGAGGGGUAGCAGGAUUUAGUUUACUAGAUUGCUGACGACCGGCGCACGGGUGAGUAACGCGUAUACAAUUUGCCUUUUACUGGAGGAUAGCCAAGAGAAAUUUUGAUUAAUACUCCAUAGUAUUAUUUGAUCACCUGGUCGAGUAAUUAAAGCUCCGGCGGUAAAAGAUGAGUAUGCGUUCUAUUAGCUAGAUGGUAAGGUAACGGCUUACCAUGGCGACGAUAGAUAGGGGUCCUGAGAGGGAGAUCCCCCACACUGGUACUGAGACACGGACCAGACUCCUACGGGAGGCAGCAGUGAGGAAUAUUGGGCAAUGGAGGCAACUCUGACCCAGCCAUGCCGCGUGCAGGAAGACGGCCCUAUGGGUUGUAAACUGCUUUUAUACAGGAAGAAACUUAUCCACGUGUGGAUAACUGACGGUACUGUAAGAAUAAGGACCGGCUAACUCCGUGCCAGCAGCCGCGGUAAUA
rnacentral:rRNA from 1 species